rnacentral:rRNA from 1 species
AGUGAACGCUGGCGGUAGGCCUAACACAUGCAAGUCGAACGGCAGCACAGUAAGAGCUUGCUCUUACGGGUGGCGAGUGGCGGACGGGUGAGGAAUACAUCGGAAUCUACUUUUUCGUGGGGGAUAACGUAGGGAACCUUACGCUAAUACCGCAUACGACCUACGGGUGAAAGCAGGGGAUCUUCGGACCUUGCGCGAUUGAAUGAGCCGAUGUCGGAUUAGCUAGUUGGCGGGGUAAAGGCCCACCAAGGCGACGAUCCGUAGCUGGUCUGAGAGGAUGAUCAGCCACACUGGAACUGAAACCCGGGCCAGCCCCCUACGGGAGGCAGCAGGGGGGAAUAUUGGACAAGGGGCGCAAGCCUGAUCCAGCCAUGCCGGGUGGGUGAAGAAGGCCUUCGGGUUGUAAAGCCUUUUUGUUGGGAAAAAAAAGCAGCAGGUUAAUACCCCGCUGUUCUGACGGUACCCAAGAAAAAAGCACCGGCUAACUUCGUG